rnacentral:ncRNA from 1 species
CCUCCCAAGUUGUAAGGUAUCUUGGGAGGGCAAACAGUGGAAACCUUGCCUUGUAAAAGCAUAUAACCACCUAGUCUUUUUCUCCAACAAGUUUCUGAGACGGAGAAAGAGGCCAGAUUACCAAAUUCAGGGAAACUCUGCGAAAUAAUAUUCUACUACCCUUCUUGAGGAAACUCUCGGAGGGAACCCAGGGUAAUGACCUCGGGCACAGUAACAACGAGUAUUUCAUCCUCGAAAGAGGUGGCAGACAAUCCUGAGCCACAUUCCUAAAGGCAUCUUUUGCCCAUGGAGUGGGGUGCAGAGACUUUAUGGUAGUCGGUUUCCUUUGCACUUGAAAGGAAGCUUAAGAUAAAGUCCACUCCCAGAGGCGACUCUGUC